CUGUCAGUCUGUCAGUCUGUCAGUCUGUCAGUCUGUCAGUCUGUCAGUCUGUCAGUCUGUCAGUCUGUCAGUCUGUCAGUCUGUCAGUCUGUCAGUCUGUCAGUCUGUCAGUCUGUCUGUCAGUCUGUCUGUCUGUCUGUAUAAGAAGCUACAGCCUAAACGGAUGGACCGAUUAAUGUCAAACUUGGUAUGUAGAGUUAUUUGGCGACUCUCCAGAGGUGUUUUUAGAAUUAAUUUUUUUGGACCAAAAAUAACGGUACUUGUCAUAUACCGAUUUUAGUAAAAUUGAAAUAUCUCGAAAACGGCUCUAACGAUUUUGUUUAAAAUAUUCAAAUGUUAGUUUUAAGCUAAGGUCUAUCUUUCAAUGAAAAAUUUUUUUUUUGAGAAUCAUUAUUAACGGUACCUGCCAUAGAACCGUUUUUUUCAAAUCCGAUUAUCUCAGAAACUGCUUAUUCGAUUUAAACGAAACUUUUUGUGAAGAAGCAUUUAUAUAAUUUAAAUAUAAGCCAAAAAUAAGAUUUUGAAAAAAAUAAUUUUUGAAUUUUUAAAAAAAUUUUGAAAAUUUUUUUUUGAAAAAUCAAAUUUUCGAAAACGGGACAUUGAAUUUUUUUUGAAAUUUUGUUUUUAGAUUUUGAUUAGUGAUUUCUAAAGAAUGGCGUACCAAUUUUAUUUUAAAACUUUUUUUCCAAAAAAUUAUAAAAAAUUAGUUUUUUAAAAAACGGCUCUAACGAUUUUGAAAAUUUUUUUUCUAAAAAUGCAUCUUAAUAUAUCAAUCAAAACUGCAUACUUGUUUCGGAGGGCAAUUUAAUUUCAGAUUUAAUUUAAUUUUUUUUUUUAAACGAAUUUUAUUUUUUUUUCAAAUUUCUAUAUAAAAAGUCUUAAAAAUUUAAGCAACUUUAACUCUAAGAGCAAGUUCGUGCGACCCAGUCGUGCAUUUUAUUUUUUUUAUAAAAACUCUUUAUUCUUGCUUUCUAUCCCAAAUUCAUUGUUUUUACCAUAUUUCAUUAGGGUGACCCAUAGAGUGGUCCACGCUUGUAUGGGAAAAAUAAAUUUUUCAAAUAAAGGUUGGGCCACCCUCUAGUUCCACAUACUAUUGGUAUCAUACUGUUGAAUUUUUAGCCUCCUAUCUUAUACAGGGUGUCCCGGGAUGAGAUAAGAUUUUGAGGGAUAAUUCUUGGGUAUAUUCUAAGAAAAAAAUUGUUCUACAGUAACUUUCUAUCUGCAAAGUUGAUAACCCUUUAGCGAUGAUUUAAGAAAACGCUUACUUUGGUAUGCCUUGACUCAUGAUAAUGUUAAUAACUCCGUUAAUACUUAUGAUAAAAACUUUAUUAAUGUCUUGAUUUUUAGAAAUGCUAUUCUUUGUCCUGCAUUUAAAAAAUGUUAAUAUCUUUUUAGUUGCUCAGAUAUUAAAUUUUUAAUGGAAUUAUUUUUUUCUUACCCAUGAUAAUUUUUACUUUGAGGCCGAUUUUCUUCAAUAAAUGUAUUAUAAACAUAGUGUUUUAUAAAUUUGUUCAUAUGAAAAAAACAAUAAUGAACAAAAAUGUUGUUCACAAGUUUGCCAGAAAACUUAUAGAUUUUAUGAUAUUUGGGAAAACCUGCACCAGGUAAAAUCUCUAAAAAAUGUGUGUUUUUGCUUAAGUCAAAAAUGGGUUCGAAUUUAAGACCUAGUAACAACAAUUAUUUAAAAAGUUCUUCUUGAUUUUGUGUGCUUGCUAGAGCCCGUUUUUUUUUUUUUAUUUUAUUGCUAAUAUUAAUUGAUGGAGGUUUCACUGAUUCAUUUAGCUACUUCAUUAGGGUGGGUCAAAAAAAUCGAAAUUCUUUUUUUUGAAUUGGUACUCCGAAAAAUCGAUUGCUAGACCCCUCUAGAAUAUACACACCAAAUAUGAGCUCUUUAUAUUAAUGGGAAGGUCCUCCGCUUUGCAAUUUUCCAUUUUUACAUCAAGCUUCUACUAAAAAAAAAUAAUUUUUUUAUUAAUUGACUUUUUAACAAAUCUCUUUUCAUAUUCUUGUAGGAAAUUGAACGCUCUACAAAAAAGGCCUUAUACUCUUUUUUCGUUUAUCUAACCGUGUUGAAUAGAUAUUUGAGGUCCAAAAAUUGAGAAAAUCUUUAAAAAUUCGUUUUUUGUUCUUAAUUUUGUAACAAAUUGAAUAUUUAUAAUGAUCAAACGCGCAAGACAUAUUCUUGCUGGAAAUUGAUUGUUCCACAAAAAAGGUCUUAUUAACUUUUUUCAUUAAUCUAACCAUUCUAAAGAUAUUCGAUGUCAAAGUUAAAAAAAAAUAAUAAAAACAUUUUAUAUUUUUAAAAAUUUUCCAGGUCACUGAAAAUUCAUUAUUUUCAAUUUAGCAAGACGUAUUCUUGUAGGGGCUUAAACGUUCUACAAAAAAUCCCUUGGCAUCAAAUUGAUUGCUUUAACCGUUUAGAAGAUAUUCGUAUCCAAAUAGCAAUGCAUACGGGUCAUAAGAAAACUAUUGAAAUCAGUGAGCAUUGGUUUGGAUACGAAUAUCUUCUAAACGGUUAAAGCAAUCAAUUUCAUUCCAAGGAAUUUUUUGUAGAACGUUUAAGCCCCUACAAGAAUAUAUCUUGCUAAUUUGAAAAUAAUAAAGUUUCAGUGAAUUAGAAAUUUUUUAAAAAUAUAAAAUGUUUUUAUUAUUUUUUUUUAACUUUGACCUCGAAUAUCUUUAGAAUGGUAAGAUGAAUAAAAAAAAGUUAAUAAGACCUUUUUUGUGGAGCAAUCAAUUUCCAACAAGAAUAUGUCUUGCGCGUUUGAUCAUUAUAAUUUUUCAAUUUGUUACAAAAUUAAGAACAAAAAACGAAUUUUUAAAGAUUUUCUCGAUUUUUGGACCUCAAAUAUCUAUUCAACGGUUAGAUAAACGAAAAAAGUGUAUAAGGCCUUUUUUGUAGAGCGUUCAAUUUCCUACAAGAAUAUGAAAAGAAAUUUGCUAAAAAGUCAAUUAAUAAAAAAAUUAUUUUUUUUUAGUAGAAGCUUGAUUUAAAAAUGGAAAAUUGCAAAGCGGAGGACCUUCCCAUUAAUAUAAAGAGCUCAUAUUUGGUGUGUAUAUUCUAGAGGGGUCUAGCAAUCGAUUUUUCGGAGUACCAAAUCAAAAAAAAAAUUUUCGAUUUUUUUGACCCACCCUAAUAAAUAUAUGCUGUUUUUUUUGUAAUAUAUGUAUGUACCAAUGUGUGUAUGUACACAAGAAAUCUCCCUCGAUGAUAGCAGGUGAAAAAAAGAAUUAUGUCACAAAACUGUGCCUUUUAUGACGCAAUAGGUUUCCGAUGCACGAAUUCACUAUGGGGAAGAGAAAGAAAAAUAACACCAAGUAAAUGCUUAAUUGAUUAAAAGUAAAUACACCACUUCCCUAACAACAAACACAAUAAAGAUAGGUAUAUGGAUUGGAAAAAAGAAUCCAAAUCCACCACCUUUUCAGCCGAAUCAAAAUGCACACAAAAAAAAACUGCAAGGAAGCCCCACGUUGUGGACGCCAA